CCUACGGGAGGCAGCAGUGGGGAAUUUUGGACAAUGGGGGCAACCCUGAUCCAGCAAUGCCGCGUGAGUGAAGAAGGCCUUCGGGUUGUAAAGCUCUUUUGUCAGGGAAGAAACAGCAGCUCUAACACAGACUGCGAAUGACGGUACCUGAAGAAUAAGCACCGGCUAACUACGUGCCAGCAGCCGCGGUAAUACGUAGGGUGCGAGCGUUAAUCGGAAUUACUGGGCGUAAAGCGUGCGCAGGCGGUUAUACAAGACAGGCGUGAAAUCCCCGGGCUUAACCUGGGAAUGGCGUCUGUGACUGUAUAGCUAGAGUGUGUCAGAGGGGGGUGGAAUUCCACGUGUAGCAGUGAAAUGCGUAGAUAUGUGGAGGAACACCAAUGGCGAAGGCAGCCCCCUGGGAUAACACUGACGCUCAUGCACGAAAGCGUGGGGAGCAAACAGGAUUAGAUACCCUGGUAGUCCACGCCCUAAACGAUGCUGACUAGUUGUUGGGUAAUUUACAUUCUCAGUAACGUAGCUAACGCGUGAAGUACGAGCCGCCGCGGGAGGUACGGUCGCGAGAGUAAACGUACGAAGAAGUUAGACGGACGUGAGAGNGCGACGGACGACGACGAGGGAGGAGG
rnacentral:rRNA from 1 species